CGAAGAUGGCGACCGGCGCACGGGUGAGUAACACGUAUCCAACCUGCCGAUAACUCGGGGAUAGCCCUUCGAAAGAAAGAUUAAUACCCGAUGGUAUAAUCAGACCGCAUGGUUUGAUUAUUAAAGAAUUUCGGUUAUCGAUGGGGAUGCGUUCCAUUAGGCAGUUGGUGAGGUAACGGCUCACCAAACCUUCGAUGGAUAGGGGUUCUGAGAGGAAGGUCCCCCACAUUGGAACUGAGACACGGUCCAA
rnacentral:rRNA from 1 species